AGUCGAGCGAUGAAGUUUCUUCGGAAAUGGAUUAGCGGCGAACGGGUGAGGAACACGUGAAGAAUCUGCCCUCCACUUUGGGAUAACACCGGGAAACCGGUGCUAAUACCGAAUAUUGAAACAUAAGUGGCAUCACUGAGUUUUGAAAGAAUUUCGGUGGAGGAUGACUUCGCGGCCUAUCAGCUAGUUGGUGAGGUAAUGGCUCACCAAGGCAACGACGGGUAGCCGGCCUGAGAGGGCGACCGGCCACACUGGGACUGAGACACGGCCCAGGCUCCUACGGGAGGCAGCAGUGGGGAAUAUUGGGCAAUGGAGGAAACUCUGACCCAGCGACGCCGCGUGCGGGAUGAAGGCCUUCGGGUUGUAAACCGCUUUCAGUAGGGAAGAAGCGAAAGUGACGGUACCUACAAAAGAAGCACCGGCUAACUAUGUGCCAGCAGCCGCGGUAAUACAUAGGGUGCAAGCGUUGUCCGGAAUUAUUGGGCGUAAAGAGCUCGUAGGUCGUUUGUUACGUCGGAUGUGAAAACCUGAGGCUCAACCUCAGGCCUGCAUUCGAUACGGGCAAACUAGAGUUUGGUAGGGGAGACUGGAAUUCCUGGUGUAGCGGUGGAAUGCGCAGAUAUCAGGAGGAACACCAAUGGCGAAGGCAGGUCUCUGGGCCAAUACUGACACUGAGGAGCGAAAGUCUGGGGAGCGAACAGGAUUAGAUACCCUGGUAGUCCAGACCGUAAACGGUGGGCACUAGUUGUGGGAACCUUCCACGGUUUCUGCGACGCAGCUAACGCAUUAAGUGCCCCGCCUGGGGAGUACGAUCGCAAGAUUUAAACUCAA
rnacentral:rRNA from 1 species